rnacentral:rRNA from 1 species
UACGUAGGGUGCGAGCGUUGUCCGGAUUUAUUGGGCGUAAAGGGCUCGUAGGCGGCGUGUCGCGUCGGGAGUGAAAGCCCGUUGCUUAACGGCGGGUUGGCUUUCGGUACGGGCAUGCUGGAGUGCGGCAGAGGAGACUGGAAUUCCUGGUGUAGCAGUGAAAUGCGUAGAUAUCAGGAGGAACACCGAUGGCGAAGGCAGGUCUCUGGGCUGACACUGACGCUCAUGCACGAAAGCGUGGGGAGCAAACAGG